UGGGGAAUUUUGGACAAUGGGGGAAACCCUGAUCCAGCCAUCCCGCGUGUGCGAUGAAGGCCUUCGGGUCGUAAAGCACUUUUGGCAGGAAAGAAACGUCGCGGGUUAAUACCCCGCGAAACUGACGGUACCUGCAGAAUAAGCACCGGCUAACUACGUGCCAGCAGCCGCGGUAAUACGUAGGGUGCAAGCGUUAAUCGGAAUUACUGGGCGUAAAGCGUGCGCAGGCGGUUCGGAAAGAAAGAUGUGAAAUCCCAGAGCUUAACUUUGGAACUGCAUUUUUAACUACCGGGCUAGAGUGUGUCAGAGGGAGGUGGAAUUCCGCGUGUAGCAGUGAAAUGCGUAGAUAUGCGGAGGAACACCGAUGGCGAAGGCAGCCUCCUGGGAUAACACUGACGCUCAUGCACGAAAGCGUGGGGAGCAAACAGGAUUAGAUACCCUGGUAGUCCACGCCCUAAACGAUGUCAACUAGCUGUUGGGGCCUUCGGGCCUUGGUAGCGCAGCUAACGCGUGAAGUUGACCGCCUGGGGAGU
rnacentral:rRNA from 1 species